UAUUUAAUUUUGAAGUAUAAAACUGACCUAUCAGAAGUCAACAAAGAUCUACUGUUAGUGGGUGACUUUUUUUCUUCUUUGGAAAUUAUAAACGAGGCAGCUGCCACGAUGUGAAAGUGUGGCUACCGGCCUGGUGAAGGACGCACGACUGUACCUGUGUCGACUGCAUGGAUCUUAAUAUACCACGUAUUGGGUUUCCAACAGCGUAAUGUGGUGAUGUGGCAUUGAACUUGGUUAUUGAAACGAAGGUCGGUUGAAAGUGACAAUCCCUGAUUGAUACAGUCACAAGAAAUGUAGCGUUUAGAGGUAUAUGUUUGGAGACCAAAAUAAACAAAUUAUAGGGCACAGUUCCCUUUUACUGCCAGAGGGUACAUUGGGUAAGUUGGUGGCCAAGUGGUGAAUGUUCACAAACCGACCCCAGUAGAGAAGCAGCACCAAAUACUUCGUUUCAGCAAGAUGCCGAUGCUGAAGACGAGCCUUACCCACCAACAUUUUCUAUAAAGGUCGAUAAGCAGCAAGUUGCAAGUAUUAAAACUUGGUGGGAAGAAUUUAAAACCAGAGAGAAUUACCAUAUCAUUGAUAACAACUGUCCGACAGUUGUGUAUAAAGCACUGAAACAGCCUUUUCCGAGUCUUGAUCGGUUUCAGGAUAAGAUUCAGGUGUGGGUGCCAAGAGCAGUUCAAUUAAUUGCACAAGAUCUUGCUGCUGAGAAAGAAUUUUCUGAUACAUCUGUUAAUACGGCUGUUACAGCCGCUAAUGAUGAGGCUAGAGAAAUAGCAUCAAAUGGUGGAGUUGAAAGUAAAUACCUUACAAUAGAAAAAGUUGGAAAAGUAAUUGACAAAGCAAGAAAAUUGUUAAACAAACUGAUGACGGAGACCAGAACUCUACGAUAAGCAAAAAAGCUGGAGAUGAAAAAGAAAGUUCUAAAGCAUGUAAAGAGGGUGGCAAGAAAAAGGAAAGCUCAAAAAACGUCACCGAAGUUGCUGAAACUGUAAUAUAUGAACCGUAAAGUGCAAAUUAAUAAAAUGACAAAAAAGACGAUUAUUUGUAAGAAGCACUGCUAUCCAUGUUUAUGAGUUUUAGGAAUUCUAACUUGCAAUUAGGUUGAUGAAUUAAAUGAAUUGAAGGAUAUUUUAUUUGUAAGCAUGUAAUAUAGGAAAUUGCAUAUUUGAAUGCAAAACUCUUUUAUAAACUAGCAAACGUGUAUAAUGUAA